rnacentral:rRNA from 1 species
UACACUCCUACCGGAGGCAGCAGUGAGGAAUAUUGGACAAUGGGUGGAAGCCUGAUCCAGCCAUCCCGCGUGCAGGAAGACGGCCCUAUGGGUUGUAAACUGCUUUUAUCUGGGGAUAAACCUACUUACGUGUAAGUAGCUGAAGGUACCAGAAGAAUAAGCACCGGCUAACUCCGUGCCAGCAGCCGCGGUAAUACGGAGGGUGCAAGCGUUAUCGGGAUUUAUUGGGUUUAAAGGGUCCGUAGGCGGACUGAUAAGUCAGUGGUGAAAUCCGACAGCUUAACUGUCGAACUGCCAUUGAUACUGUUAGUCUUGAGUAAGGUUGAAGUGGCUGGAAUAAGUAGUGGAGCGGUGAAAUGCAUAGAUAUUACUUAGAACACCAAUUGCGAAGGCAGGUCACUAAGUCUUAACUGACGCUGAUGGACGAAAGCGUGGGGAGCGAACAGGAUUAGAAACCCUAGUAGUCCC